UACGGAGGGGGCAAGUGUUGUUCGGAAUUACUGGGCGUAAAGGGCGCGCAGGCGGCUUGGCAAGUCAAGUGUGAAAUCCCUCAGCUUAACUGAAGAAUUGCGCUUGAAACUACCUCGCUAGAGGGUGGGAGAGGGAAGUGGAACUCUCGGUGUAGGGGUGAAAUCUGUAGAUAUCGAGAGGAACACCGGUGGCGAAGGCGGCUUCCUGGCCCACAUCUGACGCUGAGGCGCGAAAGCGUGGGGAGCAAACAGG
rnacentral:rRNA from 1 species